rnacentral:rRNA from 1 species
UGGAUCCAGACUUUGAUUAUGGCUCAGGAUGAACGCUAGCUACAGGCUUAACACAUGCAAGUCGAGGGGCAGCGGGAUUGAAGCUUGCUUCAAUUGCCGGCGACCGGCGCACGGGUGAGUAACGCGUAUCCAACCUUCCGUACACUCAGGGAUAGCCCUUCGAAAGAAAGAUUAAUACCUGAUGGUAUGAUGAGAUUGCAUGAUAGCAUCAUUAAAGAUUUAUCGGUGUACGAUGGGGAUGCGUUCCAUUAGGUAGUAGGCGGGGUAACGGCCCACCUAGCCAACGAUGGAUAGGGGUUCUGAGAGGAAGGUCCCCCACAUUGGAACUGAGACACGGUCCAAACUCCUACGGGAGGCAGCAGUGAGGAAUAUUGGUCAAUGGACGAGAGUCUGAACCAGCCAAGUAGCGUGUAGGAUGAAGGUCCUACGGAUUGUAAACUUCUUUUAUAAGGGAAUAAACCCUCCCACGUGUGGGAGCUUGUAUGUACCUUAUGAAUAAGCAUCGGCUAACUCCGUGCCAGCAGCCGCGGUAAUACGGAGGAUGCGAGCGUUAUCCGGAUUUAUUGGGUUUAAAGGGAGCGCAGACGGGUCGUUAAGUCAGCUGUGAAAGUUUGGGGCUCAACCUUAAAAUUGCAGUUGAUACUGGCGUCCUUGAGUGCGGUUGAGGUGUGCGGAAUUCGUGGUGUAGCGGUGAAAUGCUUAGAUAUCACGAAGAACUCCGAUUGCGAAGGCAGCACACUAAUCCGUAACUGACGUUCAUGCUCGAAGGUGUGGGUAUCAAACAGGAUUAGAUACCCUGGUAGUCCACACGGUAAACGAUGGAUACUCGCUGUUGGCGAUAUACUGUCAGCGGCUUAGCGAAAGCGUUAAGUAUCCCACCUGGGGAGUACGCCGGCAACGGUGCAACUCAAAGGAAUUGACGGA